UCGGUAAGGUGAUAUGAACCGUUAUAACCGGCGAUUUCCGAAUGGGGAAACCCAGUGUGAUUCGUCACACUAUCAUUAACUGAAUCCAUAGGUUAAUGAGGCGAACCGGGGGAACUGAAACAUCUAAGUACCCCGAGGAAAAGAAAUCAACCGAGAUUCCCCCAGUAGCGGCGAGCGAACGGGGAGGAGCCCAGAGCCUGAAUCAGUGUGUGUGUUAGUGGAAGCGUCUGGAAAGGCGCGCGAUACAGGGUGACAGCCCCGUACACAAAAAUGCACAUGCUGUGAGCUCGAUGAGUAGGGCGGGACACGUGGUAUCCUGUCUGAAUAUGGGGGGACCAUCCUCCAAGGCUAAAUACUCCUGACUGACCGAUAGUGAACCAGUACCGUGAGGGAAAGGCGAAAAGAACCCCGGCGAGGGGAGUGAAAAAGAACCUGAAACCGUGUACGUACAAGCAGUGGGAGCACAGAGCAAUCUGUGUGACUGCGUACCUUUUGUAUAAUGGGUCAGCGACUUAUAUUCUGUAGCAAGGUUAACCGAAUAGGGGAGCCGAAGGGAAACCGAGUCUUAACUGGGCGUUAAGUUGCAGGGUAUAGACCCGAAACCCGGUGAUCUAGCCAUGGGCAGGUUGAAGGUUGGGUAACACUAACUGGAGGACCGAACCGACUAAUGUUGAAAAAUUAGCGGAUGACUUGUGGCUGGGGGUGAAAGGCCAAUCAAACCGGGAGAUAGCUGGUUCUCCCCGAAAGCUAUUUAGGUAGCGCCUCGUGAAUUCAUCUCCGGGGGUAGAGCACUGUUUCGGCAAGGGGGUCAUCCCGACUUACCAACCCGAUGCAAACUGCGAAUACCGGAGAAUGUUAUCACGGGAGACACACGGCGGGUGCUAACGUCCGUCGUGAAGAGGGAAACAACCCAGACCGCCAGCUAAGGUCCCAAAGUCAUGGUUAAGUGGGAAACGAUGUGGGAAGGCCCAGACAGCCAGGAUGUUGGCUUAGAAGCAGCCAUCAUUUAAAGAAAGCGUAAUAGCUCACUGGUCGAGUCGGCCUGCGCGGAAGAUGUAACGGGGCUAAACCAUGCACCGAAGCUGCGGCAGCGACACUGUGUGUUGUUGGGUAGGGGAGCGUUCUGUAAGCCUGUGAAGGUGUGCUGUGAGGCAUGCUGGAGGUAUCAGAAGUGCGAAUGCUGACAUAAGUAACGAUAAAGCGGGUGAAAAGCCCGCUCGCCGGAAGACCAAGGGUUCCUGUCCAACGUUAAUCGGGGCAGGGUGAGUCGACCCCUAAGGCGAGGCCGAAAGGCGUAGUCGAUGGGAAACAGGUUAAUAUUCCUGUACUUGGUGUUACUGCGAAGGGGGGACGGAGAAGGCUAUGUUGGCCGGGCGACGGUUGUCCCGGUUUAAGCGUGUAGGCUGGUUUUCCAGGCAAAUCCGGAAAAUCAAGGCUGAGGCGUGAUGACGAGGCACUACGGUGCUGAAGCAACAAAUGCCCUGCUUCCAGGAAAAGCCUCUAAGCAUCAGGUAACAUCAAAUCGUACCCCAAACCGACACAGGUGGUCAGGUAGAGAAUACCAAGGCGCUUGAGAGAACUCGGGUGAAGGAACUAGGCAAAAUGGUGCCGUAACUUCGGGAGAAGGCACGCUGAUAUGUAGGUGAAGUCCCUCGCGGAUGGAGCUGAAAUCAGUCGAAGAUACCAGCUGGCUGCAACUGUUUAUUAAAAACACAGCACUGUGCAAACACGAAAGUGGACGUAUACGGUGUGACGCCUGCCCGGUGCCGGAAGGUUAAUUGAUGGGGUCAGCGCAAGCGAAGCUCUUGAUCGAAGCCCCGGUAAACGGCGGCCGUAACUAUAACGGUCCUAAGGUAGCGAAAUUCCUUGUCGGGUAAGUUCCGACCUGCACGAAUGGCGUAAUGAUGGCCAGGCUGUCUCCACCCGAGACUCAGUGAAAUUGAACUCGCUGUGAAGAUGCAGUGUACCCGCGGCAAGACGGAAAGACCCCGUGAACCUUUACUAUAGCUUGACACUGAACAUUGAGCCUUGAUGUGUAGGAUAGGUGGGAGGCUUUGAAGUGUGGACGCCAGUCUGCAUGGAGCCGACCUUGAAAUACCACCCUUUAAUGUUUGAUGUUCUAACGUGGACCCGUGAUCCGGGUUGCGGACAGUGUCUGGUGGGUAGUUUGACUGGGGCGGUCUCCUCCUAAAGAGUAACGGAGGAGCACGAAGGUUGGCUAAUCCUGGUCGGACAUCAGGAGGUUAGUGCAAUGGCAUAAGCCAGCUUGACUGCGAGCGUGACGGCGCGAGCAGGUGCGAAAGCAGGUCAUAGUGAUCCGGUGGUUCUGAAUGGAAGGGCCAUCGCUCAACGGAUAAAAGGUACUCCGGGGAUAACAGGCUGAUACCGCCCAAGAGUUCAUAUCGACGGCGGUGUUUGGCACCUCGAUGUCGGCUCAUCACAUCCUGGGGCUGAAGUAGGUCCCAAGGGUAUGGCUGUUCGCCAUUUAAAGUGGUACGCGAGCUGGGUUUAGAACGUCGUGAGACAGUUCGGUCCCUAUCUGCCGUGGGCGCUGGAGAACUGAGGGGGGCUGCUCCUAGUACGAGAGGACCGGAGUGGACGCAUCACUGGUGUUCGGGUUGUCAUGCCAAUGGCACUGCCCGGUAGCUAAAUGCGGAAGAGAUAAGUGCUGAAAGCAUCUAAGCACGAAACUUGCCCCGAGAUGAGUUCUCCCUGACCCUUUAAGGGUCCUGAAGGAACGUUGAAGACGACGACGUUGAUAGGCCGGGUGUGUAAGCGCAGCGAUGCGUUGAGCUAACCGGUACUAAUGAACCGUGAGGCUUAACCUUACAACGCCGAAGGUGUUU
rnacentral:rRNA from 1 species